GAGAGAGAGAGGCAGGCGGAGGGAGAGAGGCAGGAGAAGGAGCCCUGCGCGGCAGCGCGGCCAACUUUCCUUCUGCAGCGCAGCAGGAACAGCCUCCCAUCCCUCGGUGUGUAACCCCCGCCCCGGCGUAAUGACGAGCGCACUGGGCUGCAUCCCACGGCACUGAGGGGUGUUCCCCGCUCUCCUAACAAUCCUGCGUAACAGGGAUGCUUCAACAUGCACGGCUCAAAAUGCUGCUGGGAAAUCACAUGUUCCGUUUAGAUCACUGCUUCCCUUUGCCUCUACAGGGACAGAGACACGAGGAUGGAAAGCCCUGGUGCACUUUUGUUGUCUCCACCUCUCAGGGUUACGGCUUCUGCCUCUCACUGCUUGCUUAUCAUUUGUUAUUCAUAGUCCCAAAAGCAAGCAUGCCAAAUCUUUGCUGAAGGAGAAUGUUCAAGAUUCUAAACACACGUUAACUGACUUGAUCCCAUCUUAGGGUUUUUCUCCAGCCCUGCUUUCUGCUCUUCAACAAAAUUUUAUUGGUGCUCCAAACUCACUUCGUGUUUAGUAUAUAUUAGUGGUAUUCACAGAAGAUUUUUCUCUCCUUCUAAAAAUCUGGUGCCUUGUUCAUUCCUGAGUUGAUCUGGAGUGCAGGGAGGUUUUGCAUCUUGGAGAAAACAGUUUCUUCCCUAAUGUAACAGGCACUGGGAGGCAAUUCAUACAUAAUCAGCAGAAAGAAAUAGCCCCAAAUUAUGAUCACCCUGAUUCUCCAGAGUGUUUUUCACCUUUACUUGCUUGUGGAUAGAAGUCUCUAAAUCACCAUCAUUAUGCCUUUACCAAGUAACACUUUUAGUACUUUCCAUCCUGCUUGUACAGGGACACAACUUUAAGGGGGGUUGGCUUGCAGCCAAAGGUAUUUCAGCUCCUACAGUGCAAAUUCAUCAGUCAUCACUGCAACUGAUUGGAGAUACCAACUUGUUUGGAUGGAUGGUGAAUUCCUGCUGAAACUCAUUUUUCAGUGACCAAAUGUAUUUGUGAAACAGGGGGAAAUCCAAACAGAUUUGUUGGGAUUUAUUUUUAAAGAAAAAGAAAUUCAUUUCUGCAGAAUGGACUGGGGAAGGGAUUUCUGGAUCAUCAGGUCAAAUUUUCUUGCUUCCAGCCAGUUUGUUUCCUUCUGACACUUCCAAAAUAUGAGUUUUUUCCCAUAACUAUAUCAAAGUGAGAUUCAGUGACGUCAGGGAAGUAAUGAUUUCCUCUAACACUGUUCCUCCGCGUUUGCCAUUGUCCCUGAACCAAACUAAGCACAUUCUUUCUUCAGUCUGAGAAGACCAUGAGACUUUGUGUCCAUGAGGAAAUCUGGUCUCAUUUGGCUUACUAGAUUUUAAGCAGAACCAAGAAAAUCUAAGUAGAGGAGCAAUCACAAUCCAACAAUGACAGGGGUUGCAGCCACUGCUACAGACCAGGGCAUACUUCUCCCUUUUUUUUAAGUCAGCCUCUUCUCCAGCCCAAAACAAUCAAAGAAUUUACCAAUACACUAAUUAACUCAUAAUUAACUAGUGUUAAUGAUGCCACUUUCCUAUGGCACUACAUUUGCCAUAAAUUGCCCUGUUCCUUUUGCUGGAAAGCUGAUGACUGUGCCGGAUUUGAUUUUGGUAUUUGCAGC